CGGACGGGUGAGUAAUGUCUGGGAAACUGCCUGAUGGAGGGGGAUAACUACUGGAAACGGUAGCUAAUACCGCAUAAUGUCUGCGGACCAAAGCGGGGGACCUCCGGGCCUCGCGCCAUCAGAUGAACCCAUAUGGGAUUAGCUAGUAGGUAAGGUAACGGCUUACCUAGGCGACGAUCCCUAGCUGGUCUGAGAGGAUGAUCAGCCACACUGGGACUGAGACACGGCCCAG
rnacentral:rRNA from 1 species